rnacentral:lncRNA from 10 species
AGGAGGAUCGUUUGAACUCGGGAGCUGGAGGUUGCAGUGAGCCGAGAUUGAGCCACAGCACUCCAGGCUGUGCUACAGUGUGAGACUGUCUCAAAAAAAAGUAAAACAGAUGAAACUAAUUUUAAUAACAUUUUAUUUAUUCAAACAAUAUAUUCAAAAUAUUAUUUCAACUUGUGAUUGAUAAAAUACUAAUGAGAUAUUUUAUAUUUUUUCUCCAGUACUGUCUUCAAAAUCCAGGGUAUAUUUUUCAGUUAGCAGCACAUUUCAAUUCAGACCAGCCGCAUUUCAAGUGCUCAGCAGCCACCUGUGGCUAGUGGCCACAGUAUUGGCCAGUGUAGCCCAAGGAUAUCUCAAAUUAUCUCAAAGCUAGAUCAGUGAUUAAAGGAUUCUCAGGCCAGGCAUGGUAGUUUUCAGGCCUGGUAUGGUGGUUUACGCCUGUAAUCCCCGCACUUUGGGAGGCCUAGGUGGGCGGAUGGCUUGAGCCCAGGAGUUUGAGACCAGCCUAGCCAACGUGGGGAGACCCUGUCUCUACCAAAGCACAAAAAUUAGCUGGGCAUGGUGAUGCGCACCUGUGGUCUCAAGUACUUUGUGUGAGGUGGGAGGAUCACUUGAGCCCGGGAGGUUGAGGCUGCAGUGAGCUGAGAUUGCACAACUGCACUCCAGCCUGGGUGACAGAAUGAGACCCUGUCUCAAAAAAAAAAAAGGAUUCUCCGAAAGACUGGCGAUUGCUUUUUAAGCUAUAAGGAAGGCCUUUGAAGGGAAAUCAAGUAGGAAGAGGAUGAUAGCUGGCUCACAUGUCCUUGCCACAUGGGAGGUGAGAGAGCAGGCUACUCCUUACCACCCCCGCUUUCUCUGCCCUGCUGCUGUCUUGCCCCUGUGCAAGUAGGCAAUGGGAGAGGAAUAGUAUAUAUAAAUUGGGCAAGUGCUAGGGGCUGGAGUGAUGGUUGGGGAAAGUAUCUGACCCUUGUUUUCUACUUUCUUUAGCUUGUGGGGUAUUUAACAAUUCUUUGUUCUUAGUUUUGAGUGCUGGCAACCAUUUCUGGGGUGACAGGAAAAGUUCCAUGACAUCCGUAUUAGAGCAUUUGUUUCAUUAUAUUGUAAUUUUUUAUGUUUACUUUUGAAAAAGUUCAUUCUUUUCUACCCUGUUUCUCUAGCUGUGCAGCUGCAAGGUCACUAGGCAGAUAAACUCAAGCCAUAAAACAUGUUUUUCCUUGAAAAGUAAGAAAUAAUGUAAUGCAUGUGUCAAAUGAAUAACUAUUUCUCGCUUCUGUAAUAUGCUUCCCUUCGCACAGAUCUCCCCCUG